rnacentral:rRNA from 1 species
GUCCGAGUUGUAAUUUGCAGAGGAUGCUUUUGGUGCGGUGCCUUCCGAGUUCCCUGGAACGGGACGCCUUAGAGGGUGAGAGCCCCGUACGGUUGGACACCAAGCCUAUGUAAAGCUCCUUCGACGAGUCGAGUAGUUUGGGAAUGCUGCUCAAAAUGGGAGGUAUAUUUCUUCUAAAGCUAAAUAUUGGCCAGAGACCGAUAGCGCACAAGUAGAGUGAUCGAAAGAUGAAAAGCACUUUGAAAAGAGGGUUAAAUAGCACGUGAAAUUGUUGAAAGGGAAGGAUUUAUGACCAGACUUUUUCUAGGGGGAUCAUCCGGUGUUCUCACCGGUGCACUUCCCCUAGUUGAGGCCAGCAUCGGUUUCUGUCGGGGGAUAAAAGCUUUAGGAAUGUGGCUCCCUCCGGGGAGUGUUAUAGCCUGUUGCAUAAUACCCUGACGGGGACCGAGGUUCGCGCAUUGCAAGGAUGCUGGCGUAAUGGUUAUUAAUCACCCGUCUUGAAACACGGACCAAGGAGUCGAACAUUUGUGCGAGUGUUUGGGUGUUAAACCCUCACGCGUAAUGAAAGUGAACGGAGGUGAGAGCCUUUCGGGGUGCAUCAUCGACCGAUCCUGAUGUCUUCGGAUGGAUUUGAGUAAGAGCAUUAAUGUUCGGACCCGAAAGAUGGUGAACUAUGCGUGGAUAGGGUGAAGCCAGAGGAAACUCUGGUGGAGGCUCGCAGCGGUUCUGACGUGCAAAUCGAUCGUCAAAUCUGCGC